rnacentral:rRNA from 1 species
AACGUAGGUACCGAGCGUUAUCCGGAUUUACUGGGCGUAAAGCGCGUUCAGGCGGUCUGGCAAGUCGGGCAUGAAAUCUCUCGGCUCAACCGGGAGAGGCUGUCCGAUACUUCCAGACUUGAGGGCAGUAGAGGGUGGUGGAAUUCCGCGUGUAGUGGUGAAAUGCGUAGAUAUGCGGAGGAACACCAGUGGCGAAGGCGGCCACCUGGACUGCACCUGACGCUCAAACGCGAAAGCUAGGGGAGCGAACGGG